AUGCUCACCUGGGCAGGACAUAUACUAAAACUGGAACAAUACAAAGAUUAGCAUGGCCUCUGCACAAGGAUGACAUGCAAAUUCAUGAAGCAUUCCAAAUUUUU
rnacentral:snRNA from 1 species